AUUGAACGCUGGCGGCAUGCCUUACACAUGCAAGUCGAACGGUAGCACGGGUGCUUGCACCUGGUGGCGAGUGGCGUACGGGUGAGUAAUACAACGGAACAUGUACUGUAGUGGGGGUUAGCCCGGAGCAAGCCGGAUUAAUACCGCAUACGAACUAUGGAUGAAAGCGGGGGACCUUCGGUGCUCGAGCUAUGGGGUUGGUGGAUGGCUGAUUAGCUAGUUGGUGGGGUAAAGGCCUACCAAGGCGACGAUCAGUAGCUGGUCUGAGAGGACGACCAGACACACUGGGACUGAGACACGGCCCAGACGCCUACGGGAGGCAGCAGUGGGGAAUUUUGGACAAUGGGCGAAAGCCUGAUCCAGCAAUGCCGCGUGUGGGAAGAAGGCCUUCGGGUUGUAAAGCACUUUUGUCCGGAAAGAAAUCGUUGGCUCUAAUACAUUCGGGGGAUGACGGUACCGGAAGAAUAAGCACCGGCUAACUACGUG
rnacentral:rRNA from 1 species